UAUGAACGGCACCACGAAGACCAUGCUGUCUCCUUUUUCUAAUCAGUGAAACUGAUCUCCCCGUGAAGAAGCGGGGAUUAUUCUAUAAGACGAGAAGACCCUAUGAAGCUUAAAAUUUAUAUCAACUGCCACCCAUAUACCACCUCAACCUGACAGACCUGAUUACCAAUUUUUGGUUGGGGUGACCGCGGAGCAAAAUUAAACCUCCACAAUGAAAGGACCAACCUCCUAAUUCAAGAAUUACACUUCUAAAAAUCAACAUAUUGACAUAAAUUGAUCCAAUUUUUGAUCAAUGAACCAAGUUACUCUAGGGAUAACAGCGCAAUCCAUUUCAAGAGCCCCUAUCGACAAAUGGGUUUACGACCUCGAUGUUGGAUCAGGGUGUCCUAGUGGUGCAACCGCUACUAAAGGUUCGUUUGUUCAACGAUUAAAACCCUACGUGAUCUG
rnacentral:rRNA from 1 species